UGGCUGCUGUAGUGACCGGC
rnacentral:miRNA from 1 species